rnacentral:tRNA from 2 species
GCGACAUUAGCUCAGUUGGUAGAGCGAAACCUUGCCAAGGUUUAGGUCAUCGGUUCGAACCCGAUAUGUCGCUCCA